GCUUGAGCUUACAUUGAUGUUUCUGCAUACUUGUGUGUGAGUUUGUAUUUCAGUAGCUUAAUAUGAUUGUAAGCGACUCAAUUCAACUAAGUGUGGAUCUCAAACUGGUUGGGUUAACUAUAUCUAUAUGGAUCGUUUUCCACCAUUUCACCUGGUUUAGGGCUACAGUUUCAGAAAGAUCUUGCUUUGACGAAUUUUCCUCAUGUCAUCCGGGGUCUAUCCCACUUCUUACCUUCUAUAGGCUACAUCUUUCACAUGCUCAACCUUUUAUAUUGAUGCAUAUUCCCAGUCUAUAUCAAACUUUUUCUCUUCUACUUUUCCUCAAUAGAUCCUACUUUCACCUUCUUGCAAAUGUAUUUAUUCCUUGUGCAUCCAUUCUUUUAUUUUCAAGUAUCUAUCUUUGGAUUCUCUCUCUUUCUUUCCCUCACCUUGCUAAUAUUGUGUUUCUGGUGUUUUUCACCAUCCAACAUUUCUGUCAUAUAUGGUAGCUGGUCAAGUCAUACUCUUAUAUGACUUUCCCUUCAAAUUAGUUGGUUAAUAUGAGUGUAAGCAGUAAAGAUUAAAUAACAAUAUUUAUGUUAAUCAUGCAAGAU
rnacentral:misc_RNA from 1 species